ensembl:lncRNA
GUUUUUUUUCUUGAAGUUACAAAGUUCCCCAUUCUGCAGCUAAUUCAUGUAUAAGAUGAUCGCGUUCAUACAGCGAGCUCUACAGCAGGUGCGGGCAGGCGUACCUUAGCUACGUUGUCUGUCUCUGCAGACAGACUUUGUGACUAUCUCUGCUCAGCGUGGGGUCUGCCAAAGAUGGGGUCUGUCCUUUUGAAAGGACAGCUUUUCCCCCAUUCUAUACCAGGACCAAAAAUAACCUUUUGAACAGGGAGACACACAUGAUCCAAUUGCCUCAUGGUCGUGGUAUCCUGGUGGGAUGUGGAGACCUGCUCAGGUCCUGCCGAGCCAGACAGAAUGCAGUCUUGACAGCUAGGCUGGGGUUAUUCUGGUGUGGAAGAUCGGCUGUCCGUGGUUGGAGCUGCUCCAUGGCAUAUAACCGAUUAAAUACUCAUCAAGCUAAAAAGAAAGACAGCUUAGCACUGUCUGGCCAGGGCACUUGCAUGGGUUCAGCUCCCCGCUCUAAAUCAAGCAAGGCAAAGACUUGGGCUCUGCAAGGCUCAGCUGCCUGCUCAGACCAACAAGUUAUUUAUUUUCUGUCCCAGACAACUCCAUUUUCUUGCCUACACCCACUGCUGGAGCUCUGGAAAUGUUUCCAAUAGCAAUUUUGUCAAAACUGGUAUAUUACCAGGAAAAACUUUGGCUCCAGUUAAAAAAAUUCCUGACCAUUCUAUAAUUAGAAUUUCUGACAGAAUUCCCAAUAUAGUUUGACUUACCCUUUUUGCAUAAAAUCACUUUUCCCUGAGUGAACCUGGUUCAGAUAAAAAUAGUGAGUCCAUUUGAUGACUUUUAUUUUUGUCUCAUCAGCCUGAAUAAUACCCAUGUGUUUCUGAUGAUUUGCAGCAUUUUAAAAAAGAAACUUGCACAAAAAGUCAUAUGCAGAUUCUUAGUGUAAUUUCUUCUUUGCUGUAAGUAGAAACAACCAAAUUGCAGAGAUAGGAACUGCCAUUCUGUGUCUCAGAAGCUCUGGACAGGAUUACAGAUUUAUUGAGCACAGAAUGUACUACUCCAUGUCUUACUCUGCUUGUUGGUCUUUGCAGACCAGGGAAGUAGUUAGCUAAAGCAUUAAGCACUCUUGACUUUACUUUAGGCCUUCAAAUCCUUUAGCAUGUCAGUCAACAACUGAUAAGAUUGGCAAGCACUUUUUUGUUUAAAUAAAUAUUUACAUUAAACUUCAAUUUAACAUUGCUAGACAUACUCAGAGGUAUUUGAGGCUGAUUCCAGGAAUCUUGCUGUUAACUAAUAAACACAGAAGAGAAAGCUUUUAAGUAUUUGUACAAGUGUACUUCUACAACAGGAGUUUCUCAUUCCUUAUACAUUUGAAUGGGCAUGCUUGAAAGUAUGUCUUUUCUCCAAUACGUAUAUUCAUCUGGUCACUGAAGGCUCAACUGUAAUAUCCUAUUGUAUUUAGAAAUUUUCCAGCAAUACUUGGGGAGAGAAAAGUCAUUUCUAAAUAUUCAAAUAAAAGGAAAAGUGACACCUGCACAACAAGCAUGAGUCAUCAGUCGUUUUUAUUCUCUUUGAGAACAUUAUUUGAAAUGCUUCGGUAAGUGGAAGACAGUCGAUAAUAUUCUUACCUGCAAAGUAAGAAACGGUGGGCAAAAUUCCACCCAACAUAUUGGUAAAAUACAUUUUCUUAUUAGCAGUAAGCACCUAUGGUAUGCUGCAGUGCAAAUUUUGAAGUAUUCUGAUCUACUAAAUUAUAAAAUGAAUCACAUUCAGUACAUAAAAUCUCUUGUUCAGAACAGUCAAGGAAUCUCACCAUUGCUCAGUAUUUUAGACCAGCAGCCAGUAAUCAGACAAGUGAAUCCACAAUGAGCUUAUUAUAGUUUAAUUAUUUGUGACUGCCUUUUCAAUUUUUACAACUUCCUCCUGUUCUUUCUUUUUAAAUGUACGAGACUAUGGUUUUAACAGCGUAAUUGUUCCUGUUGCUUCCAUAGAGAGUAGUGAUGGGACUGCUGGUAUCUGGCUUGCACCGUUCUUGACUGGGCAUUAUACUUCAGUAGCUUAUAGAAACAUAAGCCAUCCUGUGUCUGAAUCUGAAGUGUAGACCAGCUACUAUCACACUUGUCUUCACCAGCCAUCAAGUCACCUGCUACUGGAAUAUCUAUUACCUGCUGGGAUAGCUUUACAGAUGAUCUGUGGCCCUUUGCAGUGAUUAUAACAAUGAUUACAGCAGCUACUGCAGUAAUGAUUAUAGCUUAAUAAAGUUGUUCAUUAGAUCUCAGUGAUCUGAACAAUCUGUAAGACUUAUGGAGAAAAAAGUUGGGACAAGUUGUACAGUGUGUGGAAAUGCAUGUGGAAAAUCUCUAUGGAAAAAUCAGAUUUUCGGCUUUGCACAUGAAUGGAUACUCUUCUAUUGAGAUCUUUCUUUAGAGGGAUGAAACAAAUUAACGGGAAAAGAAUACCAGUGAAUUCACUUUGUGUGCCAUCUCCGCGAAGUUUUUUUCUGAGACUCCAUGGAAAAAAAAAGAAAUGCAGAAGCCUGAAGUGUCCCACGCAAAACUCUCAGAAUAGGCAGGGCAUCCCGGCAUUCCUCACGCUCAGCUCCGCGGUAAAACUGCACACCAAUCUGUUACCAGCUACCACAGUUUCUUACCAAAGGUGCCGUGUAAAAUAAGUUACUAAAAAUCUUCUGAAGUCCAUCUGUCUUUCAGAAAAUAAAGCAUUUUCUUCUUGAUAGAAGUUAGGUUUUUGUUGUUGUUGUUGUUUCGUUAUUUGUUCAGUAAUUUGGGGAAAUAAAU